CCAGACUCCUCGGGAGGCAGCAGUGGGGAAUAUUGCACAAUGGGGGAAACCCUGAUGCAGCGACGCCGCGUGAGUGAAGAAGUAAUUCGUUAUGUAAAGCUCUAUCAGCAGGGAAGAAAAUGACGGUACCUGAGUAAGAAGCCCCGGCUAACUACGUGCCAGCAGCCGCGGUAAUACGUAGGGGGCAAGCGUUAUCCGGAUUUACUGGGUGUAAAGGGCGUGUAGGCGGGAAAGCAAGUCAGAUGUGAAAACCAUGGGCUCAACCUGUGGCCUGCAUUUGAAACUGUUUUUCUUGAGUACCGGAGAGGUCAUCGGAAUUCCUUGUGUGGCGGUGAAAUGCGUAGAUAUAAGGAAGAACACCAGUGGCGAAGGCGGAUGACUGGACGGCAACUGACGGUGAGGCGCGAAAGCGUGGGGAGCAAACAGGAUUAGAUACCCUAGUAC
rnacentral:rRNA from 1 species